rnacentral:rRNA from 1 species
GACGAACGCUGGCGGCGUGCUUAACACAUGCAAGUCGAACGGAAAGGCCUGCUUUCCCUUGUGGAUUGCGGGUACUCGAGUGGCGAACGGGUGAGUAACACGUGAGUGAUCUGCCCCCAACUUGGGUAUAAGCCUGGGAAACUGGGUCUAAUUCCCGAUAGGACUGCAGGGUGGUGCCUGUGGUGGAAAACGAUUUUCUAGUGGUUGGGGAUGAGCUCGCGGCCUAUCAGCUUGUUGGUGGGGUAAUGGCCUACCAAGGCGGCGACGGGUAGCCGGCCUGGGAGGGUGGACGGCCACAUUGGGACUGAGAUACGGCCCAGACUCCUACGGGAGGCAGCAGUGGCGAAUAUUGCACAAUGGGCGGAAGCCUGAUGCAGCGACGCCGCGUGGGGGAUGACGGCCUUCGGGUUGUAAACUCCUUUCGACCGCGAGGAAGCCACCUGGUUGGAAGGGUGGUGACGGUAGUGGUAGAAGAAGCACCGGCUAACUACGUG